rnacentral:rRNA from 1 species
AGAGUUUGAUCCUGGCUCAGAACGAACGCUGGCGGCGUGGAUAAGACAUGCAAGUCGAACGAGAGAAUUGCUAGCUUGCUAAUAAUUCUCUAGUGGCGCACGGGUGAGUAACACGUGAGUAACCUGCCCCCGAGAGCGGGAUAGCCCUGGGAAACUGGGAUUAAUACCGCAUAGUAUCGAAAGAUUAAAGCAGCAAUGCGCUUGGGGAUGGGCUCGCGGCCUAUUAGUUAGUUGGUGAGGUAACGGCUCACCAAGGCGAUGACGGGUAGCCGGUCUGAGAGGAUGUCCGGCCACACUGGAACUGAGACACGGUCCAGACACCUACGGGUGGCAGCAGUCGAGAAUCAUUCACAAUGGGGGAAACCCUGAUGGUGCGACGCCGCGUGGGGGAAUGAAGGUCUUCGGAUUGUAAACCCCUGUCAUGUGGGAGCAAAUUAAAAAGAUAGUACCACAAGAGGAAGAGACGGCUAACUCUGUGCCAGCAGCCGCGGUAAUACAGAGGUCUCAAGCGUUGUUCGGAAUCACUGGGCGUAAAGCGUGCGUAGGCUGUUUCGUAAGUCGUGUGUGAAAGGCGCGGGCUCAACCCGCGGACGGCACAUGAUACUGCGAGACUAGAGUAAUGGAGGGGGAACCGGAAUUCUCGGUGUAGCAGUGAAAUGCGUAGAUAUCGAGAGGAACACUCGUGGCGAAGGCGGGUUCCUGGACAUUAACUGACGCUGAGGCACGAAGGCCAGGGGAGCGAAAGGGAUUAGAUACCCCUGUAGUCCUGGCAGUAAACGGUGCACGCUUGGUGUGCGGGGAAUCGACCCCCUGCGUGCCGGAGCUAACGCGUUAAGCGUGCCGCCUGGGGAGUACGGUCGCAAGAUUAAAACUCAAAGAAAUUGACGGGGACCCGCACAAGCGGUGGAGUAUGUGGCUUAAUUCGAUGCAACGCGAAGAACCUUACCUGGGCUUGACAUGUAAUGAACAACAUGUGAAAGCAUGCGACUCUUCGGAGGCGUUACACAGGUGCUGCAUGGCCGUCGUCAGCUCGUGUCGUGAGAUGUUUGGUUAAGUCCAGCAACGAGCGCAACCCCUGUCGCCAGUUACCAGCACGUGAAGGUGGGGACUCUGGCGAGACUGCCCAGAUCAACUGGGAGGAAGGUGGGGACGACGUCAGGUCAGUAUGGCCCUUAUGCCCAGGGCUGCACACGUACUACAAUGCCCAGUACAGAGGGGGCCGAAGCCGCGAGGCGGAGGAAAUCCUAAAAACUGGGCCCAGUUCGGACUGUAGGCUGCAACCCGCCUACACGAAGCCGGAAUCGCUAGUAAUGGCGCAUCAGCUACGGCGCCGUGAAUACGUUCCCGGGUCUUGCACUCACCGCCCGUCA